AGCGUACACGGUGGAUGCCCUGGCAGUCAGAGGCGAUGAAGGACGUGCUAAUCUGCGAUAAGCGCCGGUAAGGUGAUAUGAACCGUUAUAACCGGCGAUUUCCGAAUGGGGAAACCCAGUGCAAUCCGUUGCACUAUCGUUAAGCCAAUACAUAACUUAACGAAGCGAACCGGGGGAACUGAAACAUCUAAGUACCCCGAGGAAAAGAAAUCAACCGAGAUUCCCCCAGUAGCGGCGAGCGAACGGGGAACAGCCCAGAACCAGCAUCAGUUUGUGUGUCAGUGGAAGCGUCUGGAAAGUCGCAGGGUACAGGGUGAUACUCCCGUACACAAAGGCACACCUUCUGUGAGUUCGACGAGUAGGGCGGGACACGUGGUAUCCUGUCUGAAUAUGGGGGGACCAUCCUCCAAGGCUAAAUACUCCUGACUGACCGAUAGUGAACCAGUACCGUGAGGGAAAGGCGAAAAGAACCCCGGCGAGGGGAGUGAAACAGAACCUGAAACCGUGUACGUACAAGCAGUGGGAGCCUCUUUAUGGGGUGACUGCGUACCUUUUGUAUAAUGGGUCAGCGACUUAUAUUCUGUAGCAAGGUUAACCGUAUAGGGGAGCCGCAGGGAAACCGAGUCUUAACUGGGCGUUAAGUUGCAGGGUAUAGACCCGAAACCCGGUGAUCUAGCCAUGGGCAGGUUGAAGGUUGGGUAACACUAACUGGAGGACCGAACCGACUAAUGUUGAAAAAUUAGCGGAUGACCUGUGGCUGGGGGUGAAAGGCCAAUCAAACCGGGAGAUAGCUGGUUCUCCCCGAAAGCUAUUUAGGUAGCGCCUCGUGAAYUCAUCUCCGGGGGUAGAGCACUGUUUCGGCUAGGGGGCCAUCCCGGCUUACCAACCCGAUGCAAACUGCGAAUACCGGAGAAUGUUAUCACGGGAGACACACGGCGGGUGCUAACGUCCGUCGUGAAGAGGGAAACAACCCAGACCGCCAGCUAAGGUCCCAAAGUCAUGGUUAAGUGGGAAACGAUGUGGGAAGGCACAGACAGCCAGGAUGUUGGCUUAGAAGCAGCCAUCAUUUAAAGAAAGCGUAAUAGCUCACUGGUCGAGUCGGCCUGCGCGGAAGAUGUAACGGGGCUAAACCAUGCACCGAAGCUGCGGCAGCGAACGUAUCACUUAAAACGCUUAACGUGACGGCAGAGCCGGCACGUUCARGSCACACAAACGUUGAGUUGGCCUGYGUGCUGACAGACGAGGCGUUUUAAGGAUACGUUCGUUGGGUAGGGGAGCGUUCUGUAAGCCGUCGAAGGUGGACUGUGAGGUCUGCUGGAGGUAUCAGAAGUGCGAAUGCUGACAUAAGUAACGAUAAAGCGGGUGAAAAGCCCGCUCGCCGGAAGACCAAGGGUUCCUGUCCAACGUUAAUCGGGGCAGGGUGAGUCGACCCCUAAGGCGAGGCCGAAAGGCGUAGUCGAUGGGAAACAGGUUAAUAUUCCUGUACCGGGUGUUACUGCGAAGGGGGGACGGAGAAGGCUAUGUCGGCCGGGCGACGGUUGUCCCGGUUUAAGCGUGAAGGUGGGURCUCCAGGCAAAUCCGGAGUACCGUUAACACUGAGGCGUGAUGACGAGGCACYACGGUGCUGAAGUGACAAAUGCCCUGCUUCCAGGAAAAGCCUCUAAGCAUCAGGUAACACCGGAUCGUACCCCAAACCGACACAGGUGGUCAGGUAGAGAAUACCAAGGCGCUUGAGAGAACUCGGGUGAAGGAACUAGGCAAAAUGGUGCCGUAACUUCGGGAGAAGGCACGCUGGCGCGUAGGUGAAGCGGUUAACCCGUGGAGCUGAAGCCAGUCGAAGAUACCAGCUGGCUGCAACUGUUUAUUAAAAACACAGCACUGUGC
rnacentral:rRNA from 1 species